rnacentral:rRNA from 1 species
AGUAAUGUAUGGGGAUCUGCCUGAUGGGGGGGGAUAACUACUGGAAACGGUAGCUAAUACCGCAUAAUGUCUGCGGACCAAAGCGGGGGACCUCCGGGCCUCGCGCCAUCAGAUGAACCCAUAUGGGAUUAGCUUGUAGGUAAGGUAACGGCUUACCUAGGCGACGAUCCCUAGCUGGUCUGAGAGGAUGAUCAGCCACACUGGGACUGAGACACGGCCCAG